GUCCCCGAUCACGAUGAGGCGGAACUGGUAGAUCCAGAUGGUCUCCAUCGCUCACGUGCCCCGCCGGCUCCCGGGCCGCCCCACCCGCCGGCUCACUGGUCGCCGGCGGGAAAGUGGGUGUGGCGAAAGGACGUGACAGCAGCAGCAACCAAUGAAAAUAAAGCGAGGUCUCAACUCCGAGAGGGUCAGCCAAUGAAAAUUUUCUGAAGAUUCCCAUGGCAGCUUCUUGCUUUCUAAUCUCACUGAGCACCACCUUCAAGGCGUUCUAAGGUGAAAGAGUUGAGAACAGGAUCACAAUAAAUGUGCACAACUAGUUCUGGGUGCCCCUAGCACGCUCUGGCCGGUGCCGUUUGCCACCAUUGUCCCGUCUUGACUGCUCUGAGUACCACAGAAGGGUGAGGAAACCGCCAGGGAUCAUCCCCAUACCCUCAGGAGCCCUCCAGCCCCUGGGCAGGAGGGGAGGAAAAAAGUGAGACGUUGAGAUGCUCUCACGAAAGCUGCUCUUCUUGGUCUCCAUUCUGCAAGUCGGAAAAAGUGAACAGGCGGUGUCUACUUAGCUUGUGUCUGGUCAAAUGAUCUAAAUAAACAAAGCAGAACUUAAAUCCUGGUGUCUCAUGCCUUUCCACAAAUUGAGUAAUAGUGAAUUCAAGAUUGAUUUUUUUUGAAAAAGUUAA